GCACAUCUCGUCCGCAGUCAACCGACAGCUGGCAAUACCUGCUCUGCAGACCUGAUAGCACCUUCGCGUCGAACCUGCGCUCGUCUGAAAACAAUGGGAGACGUAGCUGGCAUGUCGGCGACGUCUCACUAUAAUGGUUCCCCUUCAGUGGAGUCCGCUGAACAUGUACAUUGAACACGUCUCAGACGGCUGGGCACUGUUCGAGGGGGAUCGUGACUCCUAGUUGGUGUGCGGCUACAAGAAGGAAGAUGAUUACCCUCGCCUAUCAGCUGUCCAGCAGCAAGCGCGCCUUCGACAAACAGUAAACGCUAGUACUAAAUCCCCAUAAAUAAAUAUUAAUAAAUAAUGAAUAAAAGGGUGCUAUGCAUCC